AGAACGAACGCUGGCGGCAUGCCUAACACAUGCAAGUCGAACGAGACCUUCGGGUCUAGUGGCGCACGGGUGCGUAACGCGUGGGAAUCUGCCCAAAGGUUCGGAAUAACUCAGGGAAACUUGAGCUAAUACCGGAUGAUGUCGCAAGACCAAAGAUUUAUCGCCUUUGGAUGAGCCCGCGUAGGAUUAGCUUGUUGGUGGGGUAAAGGCUCACCAAGGCUACGAUCCUUAGCUGGUCUGAGAGGAUGAUCAGCCACACUGGGACUGAGACACGGCCCAGACUCCUACGGGAGGCAGCAGUGGGGAAUAUUGGACAAUGGGCGAAAGCCUGAUCCAGCAAUGCCGCGUGAGUGAUGAAGGCCCUAGGGUUGUAAAGCUCUUUUACCCGGGAAGAUAAUGACUGUACCGGGAGAAUAAGCCCGGCUAACUCCGCGCCAGCAGCCGC
rnacentral:rRNA from 1 species